rnacentral:lncRNA from 1 species
CUUUGGUAUCACCUUAGGCUAGGGAAAGCUCAAAGGGAAAAAAAAUCUGUUCUUAGGCAGGGAAGGGUUCGGAGCCGGCUGGUUGCUGCGAUCAGGCUUCUCGUCGGAGUUAUUUUUACUUGAAAGCUGGCCAAAAAUGUCUCGAAUGUGCAUCACAGCUAGCAUAAAAACACUGGUGGUUUUCAGGUCUUUCAUGUUUAGCAUCCCACCGUUCUGCUAGUCAGCUAAUGCUUCUUGGACCUAUGUGGUAGCUCUCUCCUUGUCAGUCUGGGAUUUUGUACGAAGUUACUCGGUUUCUGUUCAUAAAAAUCAGAAAAAGUUCCUAAAGGUGCCUUCUCCCAGCCUGGUACCUACAGGUGUAAGCCUGGCUACGUGUGACAGCCAGUGACAGCCAGUGGGGAGCGGCUCCUUGGCGCCCUCAGCUCCCAGCGCCCCUUGCCCAAGAGCCGCCCCAGGCUCCCGCUCCCUGCAGCUUCCAUUGCCCCUUGCAACACCGCUCCUCUCCUCCUCCCCGAACACUCAGCAGUGAAUAACACGGCAAAACCACAGGAUUCCAGCAGACAAAGGUCUUCCUCUCCCAGAAGUGCCUCCUGAGGAGCUGUUUUUGUUACUUUUUCAGUUGGAUCAGAGUUCCCUGUUCCAGUUUGUGAUGUGGCUCCGAAGUCUUUCAGCAGAGUAAAGGCAAUGAGAGGUGGGAAUGUUCAGGUCAUGGUUUCAAACCUAUCAUCAUUUGUGCCUGGUUCUUCUCUGGACACUCUCCAACAGAGCCAAAUUAUUCUUGAAGUGUAGUGCCUGGAACUGGAUAUACAGACAAGACCUUAGCUGCAGUAGUUGACAUUAUUCAGGCCUUUAUGUUAUAAUCCCCUCAGCCUCCUUCUUGAGGCCUGGUCUUUACUUUUAUGUUGUCUGCCCUAUGCUUGUGCAGUUAAACAUUGCUGCCCAAGUGCAGUAUCUCAAAUUUACCUCCAUUAAAAAGCUAUUUUCAGACCCUUCUAUAAAUAUGUCAAGAGCGUAUG